AACGCGAAGAACCUUACCUACUCUUGACAUCCAGAGAACUUUCCAGAGAUGGAUUGGUGCCUUCGGGAACUCUGAGACAGGUGCUGCAUGGCUGUCGUCAGCUCGUGUUGUGAAAUGUUGGGUUAAGUCCCGCAACGAGCGCAACCCUUAUCCUUUGUUGCCAGCGGUUCGGCCGGGAACUCAAAGGAGACUGCCAGUGAUAAACUGGAGGAAGGUGGGGAUGACGUCAAGUCAUCAUGGCCCUUACGAGUAGGGCUACACACGUGCUACAAUGGCGCAUACAAAGAGAAGCGACCUCGCGAGAGCAAGCGGACCUCAUAAAGUGCGUCGUAGUCCGGAUUGGAGUCUGCAACUCGACUCCAUGAAGUCGGAAUCGCUAGUAAUCGUAGAUCAGAAUGCUACGGUGAAUACGUUCCCGGGUCUUGUACACACCG
rnacentral:rRNA from 1 species